rnacentral:lncRNA from 7 species
ACACAGCAGCAGCUCACAGGCGGUGUCGGCUCUCAGCCGUGCAGCAAGGAGUCAUGCUGCCCCCUCCCCACCACCCCAAACCCCCCUGGGAAGCAGGGAGCGUGCCCAGCACUGCCUCAGAUCACUGGGUCCUGGCUGUGGGAUCCCACACGGAGACGGGGACAGCGGAGCGAGCACUGCUGGUGACAGCGCUGGGACAGGGAAGGAUGUGCUGACCCCCCCCCAGCUGCAGCCACGGCCCCAGCGUGGCACAGGGGAAGUGGUACGGGGUGCGCUCCUACCUCCACCUCUUCUGUGAGGACUGCACCGGGGCUGGCGCUGAUGGGGACACAGAUGGGUCUUCACCUUCCCAUCCCCACGGUGUAUGGCCCUCCAUUAUCUGGAAGGUGACCCUCUCCGCGGGCACUCUGUUCCUGCUGGCGGGAGUGGCUGCCCUGAGCACCGGCUGGCUGGUGCCCCCCGGGCUGGAGGGCGUCGAGGAAGACAAGGAAGAGGAGCUGGUGGUGCUGGACAUGCAGGCUGUGCGCUAUAACCACGUGCCGGGUGUGUGCCGGCUGCUGGGCACGGCGCUGUGCAUCACGGCUGCAGUGCUGGGUGCUGUGGGGCUGCUCUGCUGGGUGCUGGGCAGAGCCUGGGGGGGCCCCAAGAAGAGGAGCAGCAGCAGCUGUCGCCCAUCCUGCAGAGCAGCCCCCAGGGCCACGUGGUGCCCUUCGGUGCCUCCCAGCUCCACGGUGUCCUCCCGGCAGGAGGUGUGAGGCUGGGUGCACUGCUGCUGAUCCAGCCUGGACUCAACCGGAUCCCACCUUGGAUCCCUUGCUGGCACCCAGAUGGCCGACCCCGGAUCCCAGCUGUGCCACGGGGACUCACUGCGUCAGUGCCAUCCCCCACCUGCAAGGCUGCUGUGCACCAUCGGCCACCGCCAGGUCCCAGCCUGGGACAUCCCAGCAGAGGACUGUAGCUCCUCCACCUGCUCCCCAACCGGCCAUGGGGACAGACAGGCACGGCCACCAGCUGCAAUGCACGAUGCUGCCGGCUGCUUGCAGUGGGAGCUCUGCCCCCAGCACAGCAUCCUGCCCUGCAGUUCAUCCACACUGCAGCCCCUGGCACGGAGCAGACGUUGCACACUCUCAUUGGUUUCCUUCAUUUUGCUCUUUCUGGGGUGAAUAAAAGAUGCGUGGCUGUGG